CAAUAGCGUAUAUUAAAGUUGUUGCAGUUAAAAAGCUCGUAGUUGGAUUUCGGGACGGGCCAGUUGGUCCGCCGCAAGGUGUGUUACUGACUGGUCUGUUCUUCUUCGCAAAGACUGCGUGUGCUCUUCGUUGAGUGUGCGUAGGAUUUACGACGUUUACUUUGAAAAAAUUAGAGUGUUCAAAGCAGGCUUAUGCCGUUGAAUAUAUUAGCAUGGAAUAAUAAGAUAGGACUUUGGUACUAUUUUGUUGGUUUGCGCACCAAAGUAAUGAUUAAUAGGGACAGUUGGGGGUAUUCGUAUUCCGUUGUCAGAGGUGAAAUUCUUGGAUUUACGGAAGACGAACUACUGCGAAAGCAUUUACCAAGGAUGUUUUCAUUAA
rnacentral:rRNA from 1 species